GGAUUGAACCUUUUGAUUGGACUAUGGGAUCCUUUUCAUUGCAGUGGAAGUUGUGAAAAGAACAAAUGGAUGUACUGCUAUCCCAGUUAGUGUCCUUGUUCAUGAUAGAUACGCUUUUUGCAGAUAGUGGGAUGAAGCAGGCAUUAUCACUUCACUUUAGAGAAAGGAGUCGCCAUCCCCAUCACCUACAUUUCACCAUGCAAGCCUGUUUUGCAGUUUCACAGAUUGACUGUCUGUCCAGUAAACACAUAAGCAGCAAUGUGAACUCCAUUACCAACACUGUGACCAUUUCUAUCUAAUCCAGAGCUAUCUCAUAUUAAAUAACCAUUUGCUCUGCUAUUGAAUCCUCAUUAGGGAAAGACAGAAGAUAGAUCAGCGAAUCUGUGUGUCUACAAUCAGGGACCAGCAAAUAACUCAAUUAAUGCUCAGGAGAAUGUGGAGACAGAUGAGGCCAUAUUAAAGAAAGGGUAAAAGCUGAACAAGUUUGAGAAUUAUUAGAUUAAAGCUAGAAGGCCACAACUCUUACACACAGAGCUGACCAAAGGUCUAAAAGAUCAGGUGGUCCCUUUGGGUGCCUUACCCUGAACAUGGUAAUUAAUGCAAACUAAUGGUGUAAAAUCACAGCAGCAGCAGAAGUUGAGUCUUUGGAGGUGGGACAUGUGAAAGCCACAGUUUCAUGUUAACACGAUAUCUUCAUUAUAACAAGAGUUUAAUGUCAAUGCUCUGUUCAAAAGGAUGGAUGUUCAAUCAUCUGAAGAGCUCUUGUUUCGAUAAAGACUUUCCCUCCGCAACUUUGGAUGUUUUUAAUUCAUCCUGCUACAUGUCAAUCAUGCACACCCUCUUUAGUUGUGUUAUAAAUUAGAAAUAUCAGUGCUCUGGCCCACCCGACUGAGUUUGAUUUACUAAAAGUAUUUUAUACUAACUGAAUAUACUCUAGAUACCAUCAUGCUGAAAUUUUGGCCUGUUUGUAUUCACCCUGAAGGUUUGGGAAGUUUUCAGGAGUUUUGAUCAAGUGUGGAAACGGCUAAAAAAUUAGGCUUACACUGGAGAACUAGGACCGAAAUGAUCUCUCAUUAAACAGGUGUUAGUGCUGAAUCCUAACCUUACAUGGGGCACCAAACGCAUUAAACCUGCUGCGCCAGGUGCAGCCAAGUUGAAGUGUUGUGUAUUCGAUUCCUAGAUAACUAGUCUGUGGUCACAAGGACAAAACUCAGCAUUUCCUCCCUUUUAGUUCAUUCUGCUUAUAAUAACACUGCAUCAACAGCUCUUAAAAACUGUGAAAAUGGAAGCAGGUAUCCUUAAAUGUCAUGACUUUGAAGGCCGACCUGCUCUUAAAUUGAAUGAGAAAGUUUGGUAUUCACAAGAGAAAGUUUCUGAAAACUAGCAAAGCACUUAGAGUGAAGAAAGAAGAGAAGAAAGUUGCUUCAAAUUAAUUCCUCUAAUUAAUCUGCUCCGAGUCGAAGUGCCGAUAAAGACAUGCUGCAUCUCUUUCAGCAGACAACAAGCAUCUUAAAACAUGAUGGCUCAUCACUUCUGUCUUGACUUUCAACCACAGUUUGCGUUCAAGCCUCGUCAGCACACUGGAGGGUAAAACAAAAGCAGCACUUGUCUGUUGAGUCAUUUGAAAAAAGAGAAAAUAGCAGAAUUCCCACCAGGCGAGGCAGUGACAUUUACAGCCACAAUCCCCUCAAUGAUUUAAGCUGAGCUCUGAAUCUCACUUUAAAGCCCCAAACAUGGGUUCAUCCCUUAAAGCAGAUCCCAACAUUUAGAGAAAGACAAAGUAGUGCAAAGUGGAUAAUUGUACCAACAAAGAGGGAGUGGGGGAGCGUGGAGGGGGGGUAGAAAGUGGAAUCCUCCAAUCCUGGCUUUGUUUGCUGUGCGUCAAAAACCUUCUGACCGUCUAAUCUGUUCAGCGCGUGGCCAUUGUCUGGCUAUCAUCUAAAGAGGAUGGCGUAAUUUCCCCCCUUUUUUCACCCUAUACUGCUCAUUUCCAGAGCCACAAAGGAGCUUAGUCUAAGCAGUUAAAGAGGCCGCUCUAAGCCCUAAAGUGUGCCUGAAGCGUCCAUUACACCAUGUCUUUAAAGGAUGUUUGCUCAGAGAAGCGUCUGUCCACCGCCACGCCAAGGGACAGCUGACCCCAAAACACUCCUUUUGUGUUAAGAUGUGUUUAACCCCAUCUGCUGAGGCUGCAGUGUGUGUGUGUGUGUGUGUGUGUUUAAGACUUUAACAUGUGUAACGGUCUGCUGGAGUCUUAUGGGCUUAGAGCAACAAUGGGUUGGAUUUUUGGGGGGUUUUGUGAACUAAGCAGUUUGCACAUGACAGUUUUAUGUCUCAGUGAUUGCACUCAAAGGAUCCUGCCGUUUAAUUUCUGCAUCAAAAACUGCUAUAAGUGAUCUUUGAUCAUAAAACUCCAAAGUCAGACUACAACAUUUGAAUUUGUCAUCUCCGGAGUUUGCUUGUUUGCAUGAAUUAAACCCCACAAUGUGCAUGAGCUUAUCCUACAGCUGCACUUCUGCAGACACUGUGGUCGCUGCUGCUGCAGCUGUAAGACGAUGUAGAAACAACAGAAACAGCUGCAUAUUUCCAUUACUUUGGGACACUGUUAUCUCAUCCAAAACAAGGAUAGAUAAAUACGUAGUUUAACCUGAGGGGAAUUACAGAUAGACAGUAGUUUACACAUAAAAAAUAAAAAAAUAACUAGGGCCCCGGUGGGGCACUGUCGGGCCCGAGCCGCGUCGCGCCGCCCCCAGCGCGACCACCUCCCCCUCCCGAUCACGUCACACUCAAGGUCCAAAGAUGGUGUGCGCACUUGUCCGUGGUCAUUUCCCAUUAUAAUGAAUGGGAGGCGCAGUUUCUACCAAAACACUCGCUGCAGACAAACUACAUGUCCUAUUUGAAAAAAGUCUGGACCAUGAGUGAGGGCACAAACACAGCUAGGAUAUAUCCAAACGGCAAGUUGCUCCUCGUUACGGUGUUGCCGGGAGAGCGAUGCGAUUGAGCCAUUGAGUGAUGGGCAGGAAAAACUUGACUGUUUCUCCUGCCAUGGGGGAUGGGGGAUGGGGGAUGGGGGGGGGGGUGUGGAUUCUUUUAAGAAUGUGGAUAUUUGGGUCAUAUUUAUAUAUAUGGGGUGCAGUGUCAUGAUUUUUACAACUUUGAAUGGCCAUGGGGUGUAGAUUGGCCUGAGCAAAUUUGGUGUCAGUGGGACAAAAACCUUAGGAGGAGUUAGCCACAUUCCAAUGUGUGCGAAUCAGCAAAAAAUGCAAAAUAGCCCUUUAACCGUACAUUUUACAGAUACGCGCGUAUUGACUUUUUCGUAGAUGUUAUUGAGACACACGUGAUUGUCAAAUUUUGUGUCAAUAUGACAAAGCGUACAGGCGUGACACUCUACAAUGUGUAUUUUCACCUUAGGGGACAAGAAAAAAUGGACUUUUUUCUCCUGCCAUGGGGGGGCGCUCUUUUGGGGAGUAAAAAUUCCUUCACAAAUGUGUUGAUGGCUGGACAUUGCAUCAUCCUAGAGAACUUGGAGGCCAGUGAGGACAAAAAUAAAAAGUUAUAAGACUUUUAAAUAUGUGGAUUUUAGGGUUAUAUUUGGCGCCCCCUAGAACCUAAACCAUGGGGUGCAGCAUCAUAAUUUGAAUAACUUUUAAUGGCCAUGGGGUGUAGAUUGGCCUGAGCAAAUGUGGUGCCGGUGGAACGAAAGCCUUCGGAGGACUUAGCGAAAUUCCAAUGUGUGUGGAUCGGCAAAAAAUGCGAAAUAACCCUUUAACCGUACAUUUGACAGAUACGCGCGCAUUGACUUUUUUGUAGAUCUUAUUGAAAUACACGUGUAUGUCAAAUUUUGUGUCAUUUUGACAAAGCGUACAGGCGUGACAGUCAACAAUGUGUAUUUUCACCUUAGGGGACAAGAAAAAAUGGACUUUUUUCUCCUGCCAUGGGGGGGGGGCGCUCUUUUGGGGAGUAAAAAUUCCUUCACAAAUGUGUUGAUGGCUGGACAUUGCAUCAUCCUAGAAAACUUGGAGGCCAGUGAGGGCAAAAAUAAAAAGUUAUAAGACUUUUAAAUAUGUGGAUUUUAGGGUUAUCUUUGGCGCCCCCUAGAACCUAAACCGUGGGGUGCAGCGUCAUGAUUUGAAUAACUUUUAAUGGCCAUGGGGUGUAGAUUAGCCUGAGCAAAUGUGGUGCCGGUGGAACGAAAGCCUUCGGAGGAGUUAGCGAAAUUCCAAUGUGUGCGGAUCGGCAAAAAAUGCGAAAUAACCCUUUAACCGUACAUUUGACAGAUACGCGCGCAUUGACUUUUUCGUAGAUCUUAUUGAAAUACACGUGUAUGUCAAAUUUUGUGUCAUUUUGACAAAGCGUACAGGCAUGACACUCUACAAUGUGUAUUUUCACCUUAGGGGACAAGAAAAAAUGGACUUCUUUCUCCUGCCAUGAGGGGGCGCUCUUUUGGGGAGUAAAAAUUCCUUCACAAAUGUGUUGAUGGCUGGACAUUGCAUCAUCCUAGAAAACUUGGAGGCCAGUGAGGGCAAAAAUAAAAAGUUAUAAGACUUUUAAAUAUGUGGAUUUUAGGGUUAUUUUUGGCGCCCCCUAGAACCUAAACCGUGGGGUGCAGCGUCAUGAUUUGAAUAACUUUUAAUGGCCAUGGGGUGUAGAUUAGCCUGAGCAAAUGUGGUGCCGGUGGAACGAAAGCCUUCGGAGGAGUUAGCGAAAUUCCAAUGUGUGCGGAUCGGCAAAAAAUGCAAAAUAACCCUUUAACCGUACAUUUGACAGAUACGCGCGCAUUGACUUUUUCGUAGAUCUUAUUGAAAUACACAUGUAUGUCAAAUUUUGUGUCAUUUUGACAAAGCGUACAGGCGUGACACUCUACAAUGUGUAUUUUCACCUUAGGGGACAAGAAAAAAUGGACUUUUUUCUCCUGCCAUGGGGGGGCGCUCUUUUGGGGAGUAAAAAUUCCUUCACAAAUGUGUUGAUGGCUGGACAUUGCAUCAUCCUAGAAAACUUGGAGGCCAGUGAGGGCAAAAAUAAAAAGUUAUAAGACUUUUAAAUAUGUGGAUUUUAGGGUUAUCUUUGGCGCCCCCUAGAACCUAAACCGUGGGGUGCAGCGUCAUGAUUUGAAUAACUUUUAAUGGCCAUGGGGUGUAGAUUGGCCUGAGCAAAUGUGGUGCCGGUGGAACGAAAGCCUUCGGAGGAGUUAGCGAAAUUCCAAUGUGUGCGGAUCGGCAGAAAAUGCGAAAUAACCCUUCAAGCGUACAUUUGACAGAUACGCCCGCACUGACUUUUUUGUAGAUCUUAUUGAGAUACAUAUGUGUGUCAAUUUUUGUGUCAAUAUGACAAAGCGUACAGGCGUGACAGUCAAUAGUGUGAAUUUCCACCUUAGGGGGCACUAUGGAGCCAUUUUGCAUUUUAUUGUUUGGGCGACUUCAGAAUAUCGAAUUUUUCACCAGGCCCGGUCGUCCUGCCAAAUUUCAUGAGUUUUCGCCAGUGGGAAGUGGGCCAUUUUCCAGUUCAAAGGGGAGGAAAAAGAAGAAACUAGGGCCCCGUUGGGGCACUGGCGGGCCCGAGCCGUGUCACGCCGCCCCCAGCGCGACCGCCUCCCCCACCCGAUCGCGUCACACUCAAGGUCCAAAGAUGGUGUGCGCACUUGUUUGUGGUCAAUUACCAUUAUAAUGAACGGGAGGCGCAGUUUCUACCAAAGCGCUCGCUGCAGAAAAACUCUAUGUCCUAUUUGAAAAAAGUCUGGACCAUGAGUGAGGGCACAAACACAGCUAAGAUAUAUCCAAAUGGCAAGUUGCUCCUCCUUUCGCUUUUGCCGAGAGAGCAGUGCGUUUGAGCCAUUGAAUGAUGAACAGGAAAAACUUGACUUUAUUCUCCUGCCAUGGGGGGCGCUCUUUUAACGAGAAAAAACUCCUUCACAAAUGUGUUGAUGGCUGGACAUUGCAUCAUCCUAGAAAACAUGGAGGCCAGUGAGGACAAAAAUAAAAAGUUAUAAGACUUUUAAAUAUGUGGAUUUUAGGGUUAUCUUUGGCGCCCCCUAGAACCUAAACCGUGGGGUGCAGCGUCAUGAUUUGAAUAACUUUUAAUGGCCAAGGGGUGUAGAUUGGCCUGAGCAAAUGUGGUGCCGGUGGAACGAAAACCUUCGGAGGAGUUAGCGAAAUUCCAAUGUGUGCGAAUCUGCAAAAAAUGCGAAAUAACCCUUUAACAGUACAUUUUACAGAUACGUGGCCAUUGACUUU